AGAGUUUGAUCAUGGCUCAGGAUGAACGCUAGCGACAGGCUUAACACAUGCAAGUCGAGGGCAGCAUAAAAGUAGCAAUACUUGGUGGCGACCGGCGCACGGGUGAGUAACGCGUAUGCAACCUACCUAUCAGAGGGGAAUAACCCGGCGAAAGUCGGACUAAUACCGCAUAAAACAGGGACACCGCAUGGUGAUAUUUGUUAAAGAAAUUCGCUGAUAGAUGGGCAUGCGUUCCAUUAGGUAGUUGGUGAGGUAACGGCUCACCAAGCCGACGAUGGAUAGGGGAACUGAGAGGUUGGUCCCCCACACUGGUACUGAGACACGGACCAGACUCCUACGGGAGGCAGCAGUGAGGAAUAUUGGUCAAUGGGCGAGAGCCUGAACCAGCCAAGUCGCGUGAAGGAAGAAGGAUCUAUGGUUCGUAAACUUCUUUUGCAGGGGAAUAAAGUGCAGGACGUGUCCUGUUUUGUAUGUACCCUGAGAAUAAGGAUCGGCUAACUCCGUGCCAGCCGCCGC
rnacentral:rRNA from 1 species